AACGCACCUUGCGCUCCUUGGUAUUCCGAGGAGCAUGCCUGUUUGAGUAUCAUUAAAUUCUCAACCCCACCGAUUUGUUUCGAGUGGCGGCUUGGACUUGGAGCGUGCUGGCGAAAGUCGGCUCCUCUUAAAUGAAUCAGCGAAAAUAUCUUUGAUUUUUCGGUCAUCGGUGUGAUAAUCAUGUCUCGCCGUCGGCCAAUCUCGAGGUUCGCUUACAAUCGUCCUCGGACAACUUACCAUCAAUUUUGAUCUCAAAUCAGGUAGGACUACCCGCUGAACUUAA
rnacentral:misc_RNA from 1 species